UACGUAUGGGGCCAGCGUUGUCCGGAUUUAUUGGGCGUAAAGAGCGUGUAGGCGGCCAGAUAGGUCUGUUGUGAAAACUCGAGGCUCAACCUCGAGACGCCGAUGGAAACCAUCUGGCUAGAGUCCGGGAGAGGUGAGUGGAACUCCGAGUGUAGAGGUGAAAUUCGUAGAUAUUCGGAAGAACACCAGUGGCGAAGGCGGCUCACUGGCCCGGUACUGACGCUGAAAUACGAAAGCGUGGGGAGCAAACAGG
rnacentral:rRNA from 1 species